CUGACGCUGAGGAGCGAAAGCUUGGGGAGCGAACAGGAUUAGAUACCCUGUUAGUCCACGCCGUAACCGUUGGUUGCUAGUUUUGGCCCACAUUCCACGUGUUCUGUGACGAAGUUAACACAUUAAGCACCCCGCCUGGGGAGUACGUUCGCAAGACUAAAACUCAAAGGAAUUGACGGGGGCCCGCACAACCGCCGGAGCAUCCGGAUUAAUUCGAUGCAACGCGAAGAACCUUACCAAGACUGGACAUAUAGAGGAAAAGCGUAGAAAUACGCUCCCCGCAAGGUCUCUAUACAGGUGGUGCAUGGUUGUCGUCAGCUCGUGUCGUGAGAUGUUGGNUUAAGUCCCGCAACGAGCGCAACCCUCGUCCUAUGUUGCCAGCACGUAAUGGUGGGAACUCAUGGGAGACUGCCGGGGUCAACUCGGAGGAAGGUGGGGAUGACGUCAAAUCAUCAUGCCCCUUAUGUCUUGGGCUUCACGCAUGCUACAAUGGCCGAUACAAAGGGCUGCAAUACCGCAAGGUGGAGCGAAUCCCAUAAAGUCGGUCUCAGUUCGGAUUGGGGUCUGCAACUCGACCCCAUGAAGUCGGAGUCGCUAGUAAUCGUAGAUCAGCAACGCUACGGUGAAUACGUUCCCGGGCCUUGUACACACCGCCCGUCAAGUCACGAAAGUCGGUAACACCCGAAGCCGUGGCCUAACCGUAAGGAA
rnacentral:rRNA from 1 species